GCGGUAAGGCCCUUCGGGGUACACGAGCGGCGAACGGGUGAGUAACACGUGGGUGAUCUGCCUCGCACUCUGGGAUAAGCCUGGGAAACUGGGUCUAAUACCGGAUAUGACCUUACAUCGCAUGGUGUUUGGUGGAAAGAUUUAUCGGUGCGAGAUGGGCCCGCGGCCUAUCAGCUUGUUGGUGGGGUAAUGGCCUACCAAGGCGACGACGGGUAGCCGGCCUGAGAGGGCGACCGGCCACACUGGGACUGAGACACGGCCCAGACUCCUACGGGAGGCAGCAGUGGGGAAUAUUGCACAAUGGGCGAAAGCCUGAUGCAGCGACGCCGCGUGAGGGAUGACGGCCUUCGGGUUGUAAACCUCUUUCGACAGGGACGAAGCGCAAGUGACGGUACCUGUAGAAGAAGCACCGGCCAACUACGUGCCAGCAGCCGCGGUAAUACGUAGGGUGCGAGCGUUGUCCGGAAUUACUGGGCGUAAAGAGCUUGUAGGCGGCUUGUCGCGUCGAUCGUGAAAACUUGGGGCUCAACCCCAAGCUUGCGGUCGAUACGGGCAGGCUUGAGUACUUCAGGGGAGACUGGAAUUCCUGGUGUAGCGGUGAAAUGCGCAGAUAUCAGGAGGAACACCGGUGGCGAAGGCGGGUCUCUGGGAAGUAACUGACGCUGAGAAGCGAAAGCGUGGGUAGCGAACAGGAUUAGAUACCCUGGUAGUCCACGCCGUAAACGGUGGGUACUAGGUGUGGGUUUCCUUCCACGGGAUCCGUGCCGUAGCUAACGCAUUAAGUACCCCGCCUGGGGAGUACGGCCGCAAGGCUAAAACUCAAAGGAAUUGACGGGGGCCCGCACAAGCGGCGGAGCAUGUGGAUUAAUUCGAUGCAACGCGAAGAACCUUACCUGGGUUUGACAUACACCGGAAACCUGCAGAGAUG
rnacentral:rRNA from 1 species